rnacentral:lncRNA from 1 species
CAAGAGAAUNAGAAACCCAGCUGACAUGUUAACCAAGGCAGUAACUACGGAAAAAUUGGAGUUGUGUUCAACUUCAGUUGGCCUUCUAAAAUGAAGAUGAGGAAGGAGAUCCACACCAAUUUUACUAAAAAGAAAUUGCUCGCAGGAUGUCUCAAGGUGAAGCCACAUUAAUAUCCAAGUGGUCGUUGUUGAAAAAUAUGGAGCCUAAAUGUUAGGCUUCACAAUUUCAAUGGUGGCAGACACAUUUCCUCAAAAGCAUGGCAGCAAAUGUUGAAAAAGAAUGUGAAUGGAAAAGUUGAAAACCAUUUCUUGGAAGAAAUUUCUUGCCAUGCAUUUAUGGGAGCCAAUUUUGUUGAAAAUGGAUGGAUAUGCAUUUAAUGAGGAAGGUGAAAUUUUUCCUAUAAAUUGGAGCCAAAGUAGGAGGAAAGUAGUGUGCCAAAACGAGAGCAAAAGAGAAGUGCAAGAAAAUCGUGUAGAGUGAAAACACGAGAGAUAGUGAGCAAAACACAAAGUGAGAAGCAGUUAGGCUUUCGUUUGUGUAGAAAAUUAACGAGAGAAAAUUGAGAGAUUGUCUUUGCGUAGGUAAAUAAAAUAGUGUAUUUGUUGUAUUCCUUUUAUUCUCUUGUUUAUACAGUAAAAAAAUUUGUGUGGGUUUGUGGACGUAGGCACGAUUGCCGAACCACGUAAAUUCUUGUGUCACUUGCACUUAUUAUUUUUUGCUACAUUUAUUUCUUCUCAGUUCAAAUUAUUUUGCGUCCCACUGAUCCUGGCGGAAUUAGUAGCUGUCUAAUUUCCUAACAGUCGUGCCGAGUGUGCCAUGAGUGUAGGAAGCAAGAAAGGGCAUUUUUGUUGUGUAUGAUUUCAAUAGGGAUAUUGAGAAGAUAGCAACUGAUGAUUUAUUGUGCUAUUGGUCAGAUGGAUUGUAUUUGUUUUAUUACAGCAAGUACAACUUAA